AAAUACCUGACACACAUAUGUCAUUUCCGAAACGUCCGGUCUGAUAAAAACAAAUAUAUCUCCUUGGCAGCUGCUCUGUUUGUAGCCACUCUCUCGUUCUUCUUCCCCCCGCUGUUCUGUUCGUCGCCAUUGGAGGGGAACGACUAGUAUAGAAUCUGGCCAUAAGGUGCAAAAAUAGAAACAUGAUCCUCUACCAUUGGAUUUGGGAUGAAUGGCACGGAUCUAGGUGGAGGAAUAUGUACUCACAGUUACAAAAUCCUGUGCAAAAACAUCCCUAUGCUCCUCAUGUUUUUGCUUCGGAUCCUGCUCCUCCGAUCCUCAAUCCUCUAUCGGCCAUCUCCAAUCGACGAGCGAUGCUGGCGGCGGUCCAGUCCAGAUCCGAUGCACCGCCAGCAUCCCACCGCAGAUUCGCCCUGCCACCGCCUCCCCCCUCCGGCUUCUAGGUCCCCUGGGUCCGCCUCCCCCGCAGCCCCGCUGUUGCGCGGCACAUCAUCGACGGCGACUCGUACGCCGUCGCAAGUCCUCCGCAUCAGAUUCCGACGGGUUUGCAUCAGAUCUGAAGACCCGCGGCACAGAGUUGUUGCAGAAUAAGCAGCCCGACGUCCACACACCUCCUAUCCCCUCGCACGCUCAGUGUCAAGGUAUGGUUCGUUGCUCCCACUCCUCUUCCCCCAUCUCUUCCAUAAAUUUCAAUCUUAUGGAAAAGUCUAGCUUGUGUUCCAAUCCGGGCACAUGCCCAGCCAACGGAGCCACCGGUUUAUCACAUGGUCUAUGUUGCAUGUAGCCAUUUGACUCCACGAGUAGUUUAGUACAAUCACUCCAUUACACACUUACGUUUAAUGUAUUGAACCAUAUAUUCUCUUGAAUUAAAAGCCUGGAUACUGUAGAGACAGUGCACGUCUUUGAUUGAUUUGGUGACACACUUAUGCUAUUUGGUAUAUGUUUCUAACUGACACCUGUUUACUUGGUGUGCUUAGCUAGGUAGAUUGAACUGACCAAGUGUAUAAGAGUCCACUCAGGUUGUCAUCUCUCCCAUCAGGAAGCUCAAUUACCAGGAAGCAGUAACACGAGGCAAAAUGAUAGAUCUUUUUGGUCUUGUAUCAUCAUGUUUGUUGGGCGGUGAUACUUUCAGUCCUUACCACUCGGUCUUGCCGGCCAUGUACUAAAAAUGAUUUGUAUGCCUCUUGUGCUGUGUUCACAUGUACUCAAAUACUCAAAUGCUUGCUGAGCAAUGAUAAUUCCAGUCCAUAAUUCGCUCUCCUUCCAGUUUGACAUGUACGUGUGGUUCUACAUGCCUCUUGUGCUGUGUUCUCAUGUACUCAAAUACUGAAAUGCUUGCUGAGCAGCGAUAAUUUCAGUCCUUAAUUUGUUAUACUUCCAGUUUGACAUGUACGUGUGGUUCUACUAGAUCUGGGGUGGCUUAUUAUCUAUGUGCUGAAAUAUUUGUGAUAUAUAUUGAUGUCUUUUAGUGACCAAGAUGUUCAACUCUCUUGAAAAAAUAGUGGUGUCACUUUAAGGUGUAUGGAUGUCAUGCAAUAAAUAUUUUCAAAGAUUUUAUAUCAGAUCAGUUGUUUCAGACUAAGAGGAGAUGAGCAUUAGCACUGUAUAUCUGAAAAUGGUUGUAUUUCACGAACUCUUGAGGUGUAUAAUGCAUAUGUCCUAUUUUAUAUCCUCAGUAUCAGUAGGGGGUGUUCUGCAAAAUAUACAUUAAGUGGGCUGAGAUCCCUCCACCUAAAUCUGUACCAUUCAUCUUCAAUCCAUUGGUCCAGGAUGUGUUUUUCUAUUUUUGCACAGCAAGCUCAGAUUCUAUUGUAGUCCCUCCCCCAUUGGAGCGCCUCUUCAGGUUAGAUCUCUGCUUUAUCUUCUGAUUUUUUCACAUUGGCAGCUCAAAUAUAUGUUUGGAUAGUUGCAAGAUCUUUUCGAUUUUUUUAUCACUUUCUUGCUGGCCAUUGUUUCGUUAUUCUAGGGUUCAGUUGUUUUUGUAUAUUAUUAGUUUGUUGGCGGUUGUUUUUUGGGAUGUUUAGGUUGAACCAAGUGCAGAUGAACAGAAAGUAUUGGCGCUUCUUUUUUUUCAUCGAUCUAUAUUCUUCCAUCUAAAGUAUCUAAUUUCUAGACUCCUUAAGAAGAAUCUACCUUAAAACUUGUUUAAUGGAUCUAUGUGUGAUUUAACAAAUUAACUUUUAUCUUUUUGAAUAGUUAAUUUUAACGAAAAUUGCAUAUGAUGAAAUUUAGGAGAUAAUUAGUUGAAUAAAUUUGCUUUUAUGGUUCAUAAAAAUUACAUAUAUUCAUAUUCAGUUUCAUUUUAAUUGGAAAAAAGUCACAAGUGUUAUAAUAUUGUAUUACCAUACGGAAUCUUCUUAUGUGAACUGUAUUGGAAUCUUUGAUUAUCCCCGCAAAAAAAGGAAUCUUUGAUUAUGGCUUUAAGUGUAGUCUGGUUGCCAGUACAUUUUUAUGAAAUUACAAUACAUUUUGUUAAUUGAUGAAUCUAAUAUUAAGAGGGGAACCUUUAUGGAUCUACUGAACUUUCUUGAAAGGCCUCAAAUAUACAUUGAAACAAGGAAAAGUAGAAAUAUUUUGUGUGUGUUCUAUCAAUUACUAUUUGUGUAAUUGACAUGUAUAUGAUCAUUAUAAUUUUCUUGUCAUGUAAAUAUGAAAUCGUCUAUCAAUGAUACUACAAGCCUUCAACAAGGAUGCAAUUUAUCAGAUGAUGAUGAUGCUCUAUCUCUACCAAACUUCAGAGUUCAUUCUAGGCAAUAUUGUGACGGUCAACAAAGGUGCAUUCAACUGUAAUAGAAGAACAUUCCUGGGGUGAAAUCAAUAAACCCGACCAAGCAAAGCUAGAUGAAAAGGAAGAAAAUUGUGCAACAAAUGUUUGUAGUAUCUGUUAGAAAAGUAUUAUGAAACAUGGUUUAAUUAAUUUUUAUCAAUUAUAUUAUAAUCAUAUUGCAUAUUUUGUCUUAGGGAAACCAAACUUGAUGCUCUAAAAAUUGGAAUGGGGGAUUAUUGCGCUGACAAGUCAGUACCAAUAUUUAAACAUCAAUUUGGCAUAAUUUGGAUCAGUUGCUGAAUCAUCCGACUUCUAAAAUUCUUACUCUUGGGUGCUUGGAUUUAGCAUAAGAUUUGGAGACGUAUAUGACAUUGUCAAAGGUGUACGCAUGAUGCAAGAAUUUAAUUGUCAACUAGCAGUAAGUAGUAGUAAUAUUUUAAUACAUAAUAAUCUUCUUAAUCUUGGGUAGUUUAUUAUUUUUAAAAUGACGUUUUAUAUGAUUUUAGAGAAAAAAAGAAUACAAAGUUUUCUACAACAAGAUGUGGGUGCCAAGCUAGAUUGAGAAUACACAUAAAUGACAAAGCAGAAUGGUACAUCACUGCACUGACGAAAGAACACAAUCAUCCAUUGGUGGAAAGUUGUGCUAAGAAGAAGCAUUUGCAUUCACAUCAGCAUAUUGACAAGCCAACUAACGAGCUAAUAAGACACUUGAUAGAUAAUAAUGUUCCAGUUGCCCGUGUUAAUUCAAUAAUUAGUGGGUUGUAUGGAUCAACGGACAGUGUUCCUUUUAGUAAACGGAAGCUUCGAACAGUAUCUUCAAAUAUUGCAACUGAAAAUAUGUUGAGUGAAAAAGAGGAGAAUCUUUAUCUGUUGCAACAGUAUAUUCAAAUAUUGCAACUGAAAAUCUGCCAAACUUAUGGAGAAAUUCAGAGGUAUGCUAGCAAAGGAUGAUAGAUUUGCGUUCACUGACUAGGUUGAUGAUGGUAAUACACUGAAGUCCCUGAUGUGGACUUGUUGUAGAAACAAGGAUUUAUAUCAAUAUUUUGGUGAUGCAACUACAUUUGACACGACGUAUGACACAAAUGUAUACAUGAUGCCUUUUGGAAUGUUUAUCAGUGUCAACAACCACUUUGAUAGUGUUAUAUUUGCUAGUGUUCCGUUGAGUGAAAAAGAGGAGAAUUUUCAAUAGGCAUUCUCAAAGUUUGUAGCAAUGAUGGGAGGAAAGCCACCUGUUAUAAUUCUAACUGGUAAGAAAAACAAUGUUAAUUUAUUUCUAUUGGUAUGCAAUAAUAUAAUCAUUCUAAUGAUAUAGAAAAUUAUUAGCUGCUCAAGCAAGAGCAAUGGCUAAUGCAAUAACUUAAGUGUAAAUGGUAACAAAAUAUCGUUAGUGCAAAUGGCACGUUCGUCACUCGGCUCAAGAACUUAUGGCACAUGUUUACAAAAAAUAUCUAUCGUUUGCUGAUGAUUUUCAUAAAGUGGUGAACCAUAUGCUAACAAUUGAAGAGUUUGAUACUGGAUGGAGACUGAUCACUGAGAAAUAAGAAUUGAAAAUGCACCUUUCAUGAUAAGAGCUUAUGAAUGUAGGAAAAUGUGGGCAAAGCCAUAUUUUUAUGGAGUAUUUUGUGCAAAUAUGUGUAGCACACAACGUAGUGAAAGUGCAAAUAUGGUUCUGCAAAAUUUAUUAUCACGUAAUUCUUCACUGAAUAGUUUUAUAACUCAAUGUACUAAACUUACUGAUGACAAAGACAAAUGCAGAUAAUGAACGGAAAAGCAAACAGGUAUAUCUUACAUAAUCAUACUUUGUCUUAUUGCAUUAGCGGUUUAGCAAACUUUUCAUUACAUAAAAAACUAAAUCUAUUUUUCAUUUAUUUUUUCAGAAAAGUCUAAAACUACAAUGGGGUUUUCCGGUUGAGAAACAUGCUUCAGUCAUAUAUACAAGCAAGAUGUAUAAAUUAUUCAGCAAUGAACUGCUGAAAUUAGCUUCUUAUGUUCUUGUCCCAAGGAGUGACACAAAUAUAUUUGUGGUGAAGCAUGUUCAGGCAAAACUAAUAUAUGCUUGGUGCAAAGUAA